rnacentral:lncRNA from 1 species
AUCAAGUAGAGACAGCAGAUCACUGUUUAAAAGGGAUUCUGGGCCUCUGAGAUUCCAGGGCUCUAGAGUGGAACACUGGGGAGGUUCUGAGAGCCCGAAGUGACCAUUGCAAUUCUAAAGUAUCCGUAGUAAAACGUUUGCCAUUUUGGAGGAUAAAGAAGUUCAAGUGAAGAUAAGCAGAAUCUUCUAAAGGGAACUUGGACAGGCAAGAGGAAAUGAGCAGUGGGGUAUGACAGGAAAAGGGUCUCACUGUGUUGAGCUGAUUCCCAGAGGAAGCUGAUCAAGAGGACACAUUCUACGUUUUUCAAGCUUGCUCAGACUUGGGAGAACUCAGGCUUCAGGGGACUGGAGGAAGGAGAGAAACCUGGCUAACAGUCAAGACAAAACAAGAGCUCAGUGAAGACAUGUGAGCAAGGACAGCAUUCUCUAGAGAGAGAAAGAGAGAGACAUGGUGAGAAGAGAGAAGACUAGAAAAGGAGGAAGACAAGAAAACCUCCCUUUCCAGCAACGUGGCUUUUUGCAGAUGAUGUAUCCUGUUAGAAGAUCUUCGGAGAGUGAGGGGCAACAAAUACCAGAGAAGAUUUGAAGAAAGUGGCAAAUCUCCAAGUGUUCUGCAGAGAAGAAUGGGCAGAGAGCAAGUUUAGGGCACACAGGAAGUUCAUAAAGCACCUAGAAAACAUGGAAGAGGAUG